rnacentral:rRNA from 1 species
UACAGAGGGUGCGAGCGUUAAUCGGAAUUACUGGGCGUAAAGCGCACGUAGGCGGCUUGGUAUGUCGGGUGUGAAAUCCCCGGGCUCAACCUGGGAACUGCAUCCGAAACUGCCUUGCUCGAGUAUGGGAGAGGGAAGUGGAAUUUCCGGUGUAGCGGUGAAAUGCGUAGAGAUUGGGAAGAACACCGGUGGCGAAAGCGCUCCGCUGGACCACAACUGACACUCACAGGACGAAAGCUAGGGGAGCGAAAGGG